UACGGAGGGUGCGAGCGUUGUCCGGAAUCAUUGGGCGUAAAGGGCGCGUAGGUGGCGGGACAAGCGUGCGGUGAAAGCCUGGGGCUCAACCCCGGGUCGGCCGUGCGAACUGUUUUGCUUGAGCACUGUAGAGGCAGGCGGAAUUCCGGGUGUAGCGGUGGAAUGCGUAGAGAUCCGGAAGAACACCGGUGGCGAAAGCGGCCUGCUGGGCAGUAGCUGACACUGAGGCGCGACAGCGUGGGGAGCAAACAGG
rnacentral:rRNA from 1 species